rnacentral:lncRNA from 1 species
GGCAGUGUGAGGUAUGCGCUUAAGAAAUAAAGGGAUGAAACAGGUUUGGGCACUGGCUCGGGCAUAAAUCUAAGCCCUCAUUAAAGGGACUGGGAGGAAUAUGAGUGUGUAGACCCGGUCUUAAGAGACAUCUGGUUCCGGAGCCCGGGCUCGAAGCUUGACAGCUGUACAGCUAAAAGAAAACUAAUUUCUCAUGGACGUGACUUCCUUCCAUGUUCUUCAUCUGUCAGUAGCAUGUGUGGGUGUUAUUACUAUGCCCGACUUAGAGUCUCAUGGCCACCCCGUCUGGAUGCGGGCGGGCUGCAGCAAACCCAGUCAGCUUUUCAGUUGUCUUAUUCUGUGGUUAACAUGGUUGGGUACACUUGGCUCCAACACUUGCUUGAGCGCCAUCGGACUAGUUAAAAUUGACUUCAGUGUGAGAAACGAAGUGGAAAUGCAGGUCCAAGGACUUGCACACCCUCCUGCUGUCCCUGAAGUCACUGCACUGAAAUGUGAAGAUCCCUUCAUUAAGCCAUCCUUCCGUAGUUAUGAAGGCCAUGUAAUCGUUUGUUCCUGUCCUCUGUAAAUGUUACACGUACCGCAGUUCUACAUUUGCUCCCAUUUCACUAGACUCUGUUGUUGUAAAACUACUGAAACAUCUACACUGUAUCUGGAGUUUUAAUGACUUCGUC